CAGUCGCCGCGGGAAAACGAAGGGUGCAAGCGUUACUCGGAAUUACUGGGCGUAAAGCGUGUGUAGGUGGUUGUUUAAGUCUGUCGUGAAAGCCCUGGGCUCAACCUGGGAAUUGCGAUGGAUACUGGGCGACUAGAGUGCGGUAGAGGAUAGUGGAAUUUCCGGUGUAGCAGUGAAAUGCGUAGAGAUCGGAAGGAACAUCUGUGGCGAAGGCAGCCCCCUGGGCCAACACUGACGCUCAUGCACGAAAGCGUGGGGAGCAAACAGGAUUAGAUACCCCCGUAGUCCCUGUCUCUUAUAC
rnacentral:rRNA from 1 species